rnacentral:rRNA from 1 species
AGUCGAGCGGUAGAGAGAAGCUUGCUUCUCUUGAGAGCGGCGGACGGGUGAGUWWUGCCUAGGAAUCUGCCUGGUAGUGGGGGAUAACGUUCGGAAACGGACGCUAAUACCGCAUACGUCCUACGGGAGAAAGCAGGGGACCUUCGGGCCUUGCGCUAUCAGAUGAGCCUAGGUCGGAUUAGCUAGUUGGUGGGGUAAUGGCUCACCAAGGCGACGAUCCGUAACUGGUCUGAGAGGAUGAUCAGUCACACUGGAACUGAGACACGGUCCAGACUCCUACGGGAGGCAGCAGUGGGGAAUAUUGGACAAUGGGCGAAAGCCUGAUCCAGCCAUGCCGCGUGUGUGAAGAAGGUCUUCGGAUUGUAAAGCACUUUAAGUUGGGAGGAAGGGUUGUAGAUUAAUACUCUGCAAUUUUGACGUUACCGACAGAAUAAGCACCGGCUAACUCUGUGCCAGCAGCCGCGGUAAUACAGAGGGUGCAAGCGUUAAUCGGAAUUACUGGGCGUAAAGCGCGCGUAGGUGGUUUGUUAAGUUGGAUGUGAAAUCCCCGGGCUCAACCUGGGAACUGCAUUCAAAACUGACUGACUAGAGUAUGGUAGAGGGUGGUGGAAUUUCCUGUGUAGCG